UUUCAUCAGUAAAUGUCGACAUUUUAACCAAAUAGUUUUAUAAAUCAAUGUUUUAUGUCUCUUAAUUGUUACUUUCCGCUCUCGUAGUUUCCUCGUAAUUUUUCACCACCUUUUGUGUGUAUGAAUGAAAGGUGACUGGUUUAUUGACAAUGUUGCACAAAGCACGUGGUUGUGUUUACAUCUGAGCGGCGUCUGUGUGUUGCCACCGCGCCGUCUGUCAAUCCUCUCCUAACUAAACUCGCGGUGCAGGCUUGUGCAGGUGUGGCGCUGAGCAGGUGUGGAACAAGUGCAGAUUGUGAAGAAGACUCUCUCUCUCUCUCUCUCUCUCUCUCUCUCUCACAUGCUAAAAAUUCUUAAAACACUAACACGCACAUACACACGCACACUACACGCACACAUACGCACACACACACAACAUACAGACACACACACACGGACACACAUGUACGUUUCCCUGUGUGCGUAUUGAGAGAAACAUCCACAAAAACCACGAAAUAGAGAGAAUAAUGGAGACUGGGGAUAAAGAAAGAGAGAUAGAGAACAAAAAGGAG